CUCUACAUCAUGCCAUAUGUUGUUAGCAGAAGUAGGAACUUUGAUUCCGCUUUUUAAAGUCCAGAAGUAUGUAUGUUUUGGCCAAAUCCGUGACUCAGUCGAUGUUGACAUAAAGAAGUGGUGAGCAGAAACACCCCCAAUUUGGCCUUAUAAAAUCUUCAGCUGUCCUUCACGUUGGUACUCGAGCCUCAGUUCGACAUCUAUUGCCACAGUGGUAAGUUUAACUUGUGUGUUUUUAAAAUGAGUUGAUUUAUUGUUUUGAACCCAUUUAAUGAACCUUAAACUCUAUUGUGAAUGCAACGAUUAAAAAAAAUCUUGUUUUCUUCAGAGAACAUAUCUGUGUCUGGCUUUUCUGCUGUGUGCGCUGCUGCCACUGGCAAAUGGCACGUGCGUUUCACUUCAAGUGGAAGAGGGUGUAACACAGUGCCUGGAUUGGCUUGACGGCCAGUGGCACCCGGUAGGUUCGUCUUGGAGAAACAGUCUGUGCAUGGAAUGUACCUGCGAAGUUUGUUGCCCU